rnacentral:rRNA from 1 species
UACGUAGGGAGCGAGCGUUGUCCGGAUUCAUUGGGCGUAAAGAGCUCGUAGGCGGCUUGAUAAGUCGGAUGUGAAACCUCCAGGCUCAACCUGGAGUCGCCAUCCGAUACUGUCAUGGCUAGAGUCCGGUAGGGGCCUACGGAACUCCUGGUGUAGCGGUGAAAUGCGCAGAUAUCAGGAAGAACACCGGUGGCGAAGGCGGUGGGCUGGGCCGGCACUGACGCUGAGGAGCGAAAGCGUGGGGAGCGAAUGGG